UUGGGUUUAAAGGGAGCGUAGGCCGGAGAUUAAGUGUGUUGUGAAAUGUAGACGCUCAACGUCUGACUUGCAGCGCAUACUGGUUUCCUUGAGUACGCACAACGUUGGCGGAAUUCGUCGUGUAGCGGUGAAAUGCUUAGAUAUGACGAAGAACUCCGAUUGCGAAGGCAGCUGACGGGAGCGCAACUGACGCUUAAGCUCGAAGGUGCGGGUAUCGAACAGGAUUAGAUACCCUGGUAGUCCGCACAGUAAACGAUGGAUGCCCGCUGUUGGUACCUGGUAUCAGCGGCUAAGCGAAAGCAUUAAGCAUCCCACCUGGGGAGUACGCCGGCAACGGUGAAACUCAAAGGAAUUGACGGGGGCCCGCACAAGCGGAGGAACAUGUGGUUUAAUUCGAUGAUACGCGAGGAACCUUACCCGGGCUUGAAUUGCAGAGGAAGGAUUUAGAGAUAAUGACGCCCUUCGGGGCCUCUGUGAAGGUGCUGCAUGGUUGUCGUCAGCUCGUGUCGUGAG
rnacentral:rRNA from 1 species